ACGUGUUCUUUCUAGAUUGUCAAACCAUGAUUGUAUUGGACUUUUGUGUAAGAAGAUAUGGUUGUUUUAAAUUUGGUCUGUUUGUGUUAGAAAGGUCAAAAAACGUGUGCUAGUUAAUUUGUCUAAGUUAGUUUGUCAAAGUCUGUUUUUUGGGCUUGACUUCUGCCAUGUUGAAUUAUUCCUAACUUUGGAGGGAUGUUCCAAUUAUAAAUAUAGUAUCAGAAUAUGUAAUAAAGAACUUUUGGC
rnacentral:lncRNA from 1 species